rfam:Enterobacter cloacae SCF1, complete genome.
CACGGCGGCUGGCGCACUUCCUGAUAACGGGCAGUGUUUCGCGUCUGCAUAAGACAAACAGAUACCUUGCCCGCCAUUGCGCGGGCUUUUUUUU